rnacentral:rRNA from 1 species
UACGGGGGGAGCAAGCGUUGUUCGGAAUUACUGGGCGUAAAGGGCUCGUAGGCGGCCAACUAAGUCAGACGUGAAAUCCCUCGGCUUAACCGGGGAACUGCGUCUGAUACUGGAUGGCUUGAGAUUGGGAGAGGGAUGCGGAAUUCCAGGUGUAGCGGUGAAAUGCGUAGAUAUCUGGAGGAACACCGGUGGCGAAGGCGGCAUCCUGGACCAACACUGACGCUGAGGAGCGAAAGCCAGGGGAGCAAACGGG